CAGUCGCCGCGGUAAUACGAAGGGGGCUAGCGUUGUUCGGAAUUACUGGGCGUAAAGCGCACGUAGGCGGAUAUUUAAGUCAGGGGUGAAAUCCCAGAGCUCAACUCUGGAACUGCCUUUGAUACUGGGUAUCUUGAGUAUGGAAGAGGUGAGUGGAAUUCCGAGUGUAGAGGUGAAAUUCGUAGAUAUUCGGAGGAACACCAGUGGCAAAGGCGGCUCACUGGUCCAUUACUGACGCUGAGGUGCGAAAGCGUGGGGAGCAAACAGGAUUAGAUACCCGAGUAGUCCCUGUCUCUUAUAC
rnacentral:rRNA from 1 species